AAUACAAAAACUAAACAUUUUUGUAUAGAAAUGUCAAACUAAAGACACCUACCUAAAAGCUGUUAUCAGCUGAAGGAGAUAGAGAAAGAGACUGAAAAAACACGGAGACGCAAAUCCCCUCAGAAUGUGAGAGCCUUAUUAGAUGUUUAACAUGAGAAAAACAGAAAAUAAUCUGCAGCUACACCCUGAAUUAAAGCUAGUUACAGAUCUAAAGCAGACCCCAAGUGCAAGUGACAGAGCUGUUGUUGAUCUAACACAAACCUCCCAGCAGGAAGCUGCAGGUAAAAGACUCCUGCUGUAUAUUUUACUGCCCUCAUGUGGCUUUCGCCUGCAAACAGCUCACACAUCAGCAGGGCGCCGCAAAAUGUCAAACAGCAACAAAGAGAAAGCUAAAACAUUAGCAGCUAAUGCUGCACGCUCAGUAAAGAUUGGGCCUUGGUUGUAGCCAGGCCCUGCCGUCUGUCCUCUCGUCUCUUUAAUGGAGUGUGAGUUUUCAUGCCUGCAGGCGGACGCAGCCGACACAGAGAACCAGCCGGUGAGGCGUCGGAUCAGAACCGUCUUCUAGGUCAGAGCAGCGCAGAGCUGUGGGGGCAGGUGCACAGACAGGCUGAUGUUCCAACCGAGCAGCAGAGCAGCAGUCUGUGUGUCACUUCACCUGCAGCGCGGGGUCGAAUCAUCAGCAAGUCACUGCAAGUCAGCACCAUUUUAUUUUCACAGAGGGACAGAGAUGGAGGAGGCGGCGACAUGCUGGUCAUAAACGCUUGGAGGCAGGAACAGAUUAAAACAGACUGCAAGGUGCAACACGUUGCCAACAGGCUGCUGAGGAACGCUGGUGCACACAGCGGGGGGGAGACAGAUGACAGUAUGAAUAUCUCUGAGGUGUCGUCUAUAAGUGCUGAUGACUGUUCAUAAAUUAGCAGGAGCGAGGUGAGUGGAGGAGAGACGUCUAAAUGAGUGAAAGCUGCGUUCAGAUGACGCGGCCGCCCAGCAGGACCUGGUGACUCACUGAGCUCCGGGAAUUAUGUGGAACCUUUCCCACCAUGCAGUGUGUCAGGGGACACAGUACAGUGUUGCACUGUGGCCACGUCUCUGCUAACAUGUCCCUACGGCCAAAUUAUUCCCAAACUUUUCUAGAGGUCCUCCAGAAGAUGGAAUACUUUUUUGUUUAUCAAAGAAGACGUGGACUCUUCCACCUUCUGCUCCCUGAAAAGCUCAGGCACAGCCCCAACUCUGAGAAGCACUGCAGCAAGUCCUGUUACAAGGCCUGGGACUAAAUGUGGCAGGAGCAGCUCCGGCGGCUGGAGGGAGGCUCUGCUCACCACACUAGUUUCUCUUGUAGAGGAAGUCGGGGAAACCCAGAAAAAACAUGGGAACAUGUUGAAUAACCUGCUGAGGCAGAAAUCUGCUGCAUCACUUGAGGAACCACCUGAGGAAGUCGUGUUUCCUGUGACCACAGGGGACGAAGUCCUGGACAUGAACAAAGAACUGCCUGACUGUGACUUCAUGCCUGGAGAUGUAAGUUAAAAGUUGACUUACAAAAUUGAAACAGUGUGCAGGACAUCAGGCACAUAGGCUGUGAAACAACAUAGACCCAUGAUAACUCGAUAAAUUAGUUUCAAAAAAAUCUGUCUCAGGUAUAUUGAUACCGAAAUGUUUUCAUGUAAUUGUCAUCAUACUCAACGUCGCCAUUGUCAGGGAAAUUGGAGGCACAUCAUUGGAUGAGUCAAAAAGACGAAUAAUGGCAUUUCUGAUGUCAUAUGAACUGAUGCUGCUGUAAAAUCUUUUUGGUUGUCAUGGGAAAAUCUAAUAACAGGACCUUUGAUGUU